GCCCGGAUAGCUCAGUUGGUAGAGCAUAAGGCAUUUGACGUGAGGGUCCAGGGUUCAAGUCCCUGUCCGGGCG